rnacentral:rRNA from 1 species
UACAGAGGGGGCAAGCGUUGUUCGGAAUUACUGGGCGUAAAGGGCGCGUAGGCGGCCUGCUAAGUCGAACGUGAAAUCCCUGGGCUCAACCCAGGAACUGCGUCCGAUACUGGUUGGCUUGAAUCCGGGAGAGGGAUGUGGAAUUCCAGGUGUAGCGAUGAGAUGCGUAGAUAUCUGGAGGAACACCGGUGGCGAAGGCGACAUCCUGGACCGGUAUUGACGCUGAGGCGCGAAAGCCAGGGGAGCAAACGGG